rnacentral:tRNA from 1 species
GACGAUAUAGUUCAGUGGUAGAACAUUGGAAUCAUAAUCCAAGUGUCAUGGGUUCAAAUCCCUUUAUCGUCA